AUUGAACGCUGGCGGCAGGCCUAACACAUGCAAGUCGAGCGGAUGAGUGGAGCUUGCUCCAUGAUUCAGCGGCGGACGGGUGAGUAAUGCCUAGGAAUCUGCCUGGUAGUGGGGGACAACGUUUCGAAAGGAACGCUAAUACCGCAUACGUCCUACGGGAGAAAGUGGGGGAUCUUCGGACCUCACGCUAUCAGAUGAGCCUAGGUCGGAUUAGCUAGUUGGUGAGGUAAAGGCUCACCAAGGCGACGAUCCGUAACUGGUCUGAGAGGAUGAUCAGUCACACUGGAACUGAGACACGGUCCAGACUCCUACGGGAGGCAGCAGUGGGGAAUAUUGGACAAUGGGCGAAAGCCUGAUCCAGCCAUGCCGCGUGUGUGAAGAAGGUCUUCGGAUUGUAAAGCACUUUAAGUUGGGAGGAAGGGCAGUAAGUUAAUACCUUGCUGUUUUGACGUUACCAACAGAAUAAGCACCGGCUAACUUCGUGCCAGCAGCCGCAGUAAAAC
rnacentral:rRNA from 1 species